AUUGAACGCUGGCGGCAUGCCUUACACAUGCAAGUCGAACGGUAACGCGGGGCAACCUGGCGACGAGUGGCGAACGGGUGAGUAAUGCAUCGGAACGUGCCCAGUAGUGGGGGAUAGCCCGGCGAAAGCCGGAUUAAUACCGCAUACGACCUACGGGUGAAAGGGGGGGAUCGCAAGACCUCUCGCUAUUGGAGCGGCCGAUGUCAGAUUAGGUAGUUGGUGGGGUAAAGGCCUACCAAGCCGACGAUCUGUAGCUGGUCUGAGAGGACGACCAGCCACACUGGGACUGAGACACGGCCCAGACUCCUACGGGAGGCAGCAGUGGGGAAUUUUGGACAAUGGGCGAAAGCCUGAUCCAGCCAUGCCGCGUGCGGGAAGAAGGCCUUCGGGUUGUAAACCGCUUUUGUCAGGGGAGAAAUCUUCUGGGUUAAUACCUCGGGAGGAUGACGGUACCUGAAGAAUAAGCACCGGCUAACUACGUGCCAGCCGCCGCGGUAACAC
rnacentral:rRNA from 1 species